AACAUCGCGCACCUGCGGGAACCUGCGGAAGGAUCAUUAACGAUUGGUGGCUGUUGCUGACUAGUGUUUCUAGUAUGUGCACGCCACACCUUCAAUCCCACUUACACCUGUGCACCUUCUGUAAUAGAUCUAUGUGGAUACGGAGAUAUGAAAGUUUGCGCUCUCGUACUCUGUUGAAGCAGUCUACUACGUUUUUUUACACACACACAAUAGUCAUUGAAUGUAUUUUUUAUUCUUAUG
rnacentral:misc_RNA from 1 species